UACGAAGGGGGCUAGCGUUGCUCGGAAUCACUGGGCGUAAAGCGCACGUAGGCGGAUUGCUAAGUCAGGGGUGAAAUCCUGGAGCUCAACUCCAGAACUGCCUUUGAUACUGGCAACCUUGAAUCCGGGAGAGGGAUGCGGAAUUCCAGGUGUAGCGGUGAAAUGCGUAGAUAUCUGGAGGAACACCGGUGGCGAAGGCGGCAUCCUGGACCGGCAUUGACGCUGAGGAGCGAAAGCCAGGGGAGCAAACGGG
rnacentral:rRNA from 1 species